GACGAACGCUGGCGGCGUGCCUAAUACAUGCAAGUAGAACGCUGAAGAGAGGAGCUUGCUCUUCUUGGAUGAGUUGCGAACGGGUGAGUAACGCGUAGGUAACCUGCCUUGUAGCGGGGGAUAACUAUUGGAAACGAUAGCUAAUACCGCAUAACAAUGGAUGACACAUGUCAUUUAUUUGAAAGGGGCAAUUGCUCCACUACAAGAUGGACCUGCGUUGUAUUAGCUAGUAGGUGAGGUAAUGGCUCACCUAGGCGACGAUACAUAGCCGACCUGAGAGGGUGAUCGGCCACACUGGGACUGAGACACGGCCCAGACGCCUACUGGAGGCAGCAGUAGGGAAUCUUCGGCAAUGGGGGCAACCCUGACCGAGCAACGCCGCGUGAGUGAAGAAGGUUUUCGGAUCGUAAAGCUCUGUUGUAAGUCAAGAACGGGUGUGAGAGUGGAAAGUUCACACUGUGACGGUAGCUUACCAGAAAGGGACGGCUAACUACGUG
rnacentral:rRNA from 1 species